GGGUAGGGUCCACCUUACUGACUUUCUCUCUCAUUUUAUCUCAUGAAAGGCCAUCUCUCUAAAUAUAGUCAUUCUGAGACAGUGGUUGAGUUGAGACUUCAACAUAUGAACUUCAACCCACAAAUAGUGACAUUCUCUAAGGUGAUGGCUGGCCAGUCAUGUCAACAUUCCAGCAUUCCUGGGGAAGCCUGCUGCUAUGUCAUGAGGACACUCAACAACCCUAUGAAGAGGACCGUGUGGCAUAGAAGAUGCCUCCUACCAACAAUCAACACUAACUUACUAGGUCUCUGAGUAAGUCAAACUGGAAGCAAUUCUCCAGCCCUAGUCAUGCUUUUGGACAACUGCAGCCCCAGUCAGCAUCUUCACAGACACCUCAUGAGAGACCCUGAAUCAGAACCAUCUAGCUCAGUCGCUCUUGAACAUUGCACCACAGAAAUAGUGUGAAAUAAUAAAUGUGUACUGUUGUUUUGGCUGUCAUGCAGCAAAUGUAUAACCAAUAUUACAACAAAACCUAAAACUCUUCCUGUGUUUUCUUCCUCGGACGUGUACACCACAAUCCAAUUUCAACAAAUCAUGCAGGAAUAAUGAGGAUCUGGUUUAAGGUAGUGGGAACAGAUGUGGCAAGAGCUGAGUGGACUACAUAGACAUUAAGGAAGCAUUUGAUAGACUUGGUGCACAAGGUAGAGAGUAAGAGAGUGAGAGGAGUUUAGGAUGAGGGGUUUGUUCACUUGGUUUUAUGUUUUGCUGAGCUCAGUUCCAAAAGGAAUGGAAGAAAAAUUCAGUCAAAUAACAUUUAAUGAGUUAGGACUUUUUUCAUCCAUCAGUUUGUACAAUUUCUUCAUAAAAAUCAGAUUUUAAACAUUGUGAUUGAAGAGAAAAAAUGGCCAGAGGAGGCUACCUUU
rnacentral:lncRNA from 1 species